AGUAUGCCUUGACAAAUUCAAAUCGAAUUUUGUUUUGACAAAUUUCGUGUCUGCAGAAAAUCGGAAAAUGCUUAGAUAAGACCCCGUCAGAUGCAAGAUAUACCCGCACCAGAUAUAUACCUCAAAUGUUGGGGCGGUGCGGGGGUCCGCUGCCGCUGCCGCUGACGUUGCCGCUGCCGAUUCCGAUCCGACUCCAUUGUAGCACAAUGAACGGCUGUUUCGUGGUUCUUGCACUUUCACUAUAUUAAAAUGCAUACCACCUA